GCCUCAGAAGUGUAGAAGGAGUCAGCAGUCUGGAAGAGGCUACAAAGUUCCAGCUGUUGUUCUGCCCUGCGAUGCCCCAAUGGCCCUCGACAGGGUGUAGGGCAGACCAGACGCUCUAUAAAUACAUCUAAGUCCACAAAGGCCACUGCCAGCCACUCUGAACAGAAGCGGUGCUUUCAGGUCUUCCUGGGGUCUUCUGCCAAAGGAAAAGACUGGACUUAGACUUCACUUCUCUCUUCUAAACCAAGAUUAGCAGGGAUAGUUAUGGUGCAAUCCCUCUUUAAGUGCCUUAAGUUUUUUAAGGUAUUAGCACUAAGGAUGUUCUUUUGUCCUAAGUUAUACAAUUUAACAGUAUUUGCUUAAUAACUUAAAUAAGUUUUCUUUGCAUAAUAAACU
rnacentral:lncRNA from 1 species